UUUGUCUAUAUCACAAUGCUGAAUGUAGUUUCGUUUCCAUUACUAGUGUCUUUACCAUACAAAGGAUACUCUCCAUCUCCUUCCUUCAUUUCACAAUUUGACACAUCGUGAUGUGUAUUCUGGUAGCCCCGAUGCCACUAAUGAAGUAAUAAUGGACAUUCUCCGAAAGACUCCUAAACUGGAAGUUCUUCAGAUUCCUGGAGUGGUACUUGACUACUUGGAUGGUGAAGAUUUGAUAUUGAACUCUGUGCCUUGCUGUUUCAAAUCUUCUCUCAAACAAUUAUGCUUUUUGAAUUUUUAUGGAAAUGAAUAUGAAAUCCAAUUUGUUAUGUUUUUCUUAAAAAAUGACACAUUUUUAGAAGGGAUCCAGAUAUUCUAAAUUCGAGGCAUUUAGUAGCUGAUAUGAAGUUGGAUGAUGUCAUGAACCAAUUGCAACCUGAAGGAUUGGGAAGUUGUGUCCUCGAGUUUUUUUCCAGCUAUUAUGAAUCCUCUGAUGAUGAUGAAUCUGGCGAAGAUGAAGUGAGUAAAACACUUUUCAUAACAGGGCAAAAAUAGUGAAUACGUCCUUGUGAUUGUUGGCUGUUUCAUUGUUGAAAUAUUAUUUGAAAUAUACAUAAUAUUGGAUUACAUUAAGUAGA